rnacentral:rRNA from 1 species
UAAUACGGAGGGUGCAAGCGUUAAUCGGAAUUACUGGGCGUAAAGCGCACGCAGGCGGUUUGUUAAGUCAGAUGUGAAAUCCCCGGGCUCAACCUGGGAACUGCAUUUGAAACUGGCAAGCUAGAGUCUCGUAGAGGGGGGGUAGAAUUCCAGGUGUAGCGGUGAAAUGCGUAGAGAUCUGGAGGAAUACCGGUGGCGAAGGCGGCCCCCUGGACGAAGACUGACGCUCAGGUGCGAAAGCGUGGGGAGCAAACAGGAUUAGAUACCCUGGUAGUCCACGCUGUAAACGAUGUCGAUUUGGAGGUUGUGCCCUUGAGGCGUGGCUUCCGGAGCUAAACGCGUUAAAUCGACCGCCUGGGGAGUACGGCCGCAAGGUUA